AUGGACUGGACCUGGAGCAUCCUUUUCUUGGUGGCAGCAGCAACAGGUGCCCACUCCCAGGUGCAGCUGGUGCAGUCUGGAGCUGAGGUGAAGAAGCCUAGAGCCUCAGUGAAGGUCUCCUGCAAGGCUUCUGGUUACACCUUUACCAGCUACUAUAUGCACUGGGUGUGACAGGCCCCUGAACAAGGGCUUGAGUGGAUGGGAUGGAUCAACACUUACAAUGGUAACACAAACUACCCACAGAAGCUCCAGGGCAGAGUCACCAUGACCAGAGACACAUCCACGAGCACAGCCUACAUGGAGCUGAGCAGCCUGAGAUCUGACGACAUGGCCGUGUAUUACUGUGCGAGAGA
rnacentral:lncRNA from 1 species